rnacentral:ribozyme from 1 species
AAAAAAAAAAAAAAAGAAGAAAAAAAAAACGGGGGAAGACAAGGCCACCAGUUCUUCUAUCUUACCUCCACAAACCAUGUUCUUUUGGUUGGUUUUUUUUUUCUUUUUUCUUUUUUCUUUUUUUUUAUUUUUUAUAAAUACU